rnacentral:rRNA from 1 species
AUUGAACGCUGGCGGCAGGCCUAACACAUGCAAGUCGAACGAGUGGCGGACGGGUGAGUAAUGUCUGGGAAACUGCCUGAUGGAGGGGGAUAACUACUGGAAACGGUAGCUAAUACCGCAUACCAUCGGAUGUGCCUAGAUGGGAUUAGCUAGUAGGUGGGGUAAAGGCUCACCUAGGCGACGAUCCCUAGCCGGUCUGAGAGGAUGACCGGACACACUGGGACUGGAACACGGUGCAGAAUCGUAAGGGAGGCAGCAGUGGGGAAUAGUGCAGAGUGGGCGUAAGCCUGAUGCAGCAAUGACGGGUGUAAGAAGAAGGACUUCGGAUUAUAAGGUACUUUCGGCGGGGAGACGUUAACCACAGAAGAAGCACCGGCUAGCUCCGUACCAGCAGCAACGGUAAUAC